rnacentral:lncRNA from 1 species
UUGGAGCACUCCUCGCAACAACCGCGUCGUCGCCACCACUUAAGCAGCACCACGCUGCUUAAUGAAGAGAUCGGAACCUUUGCGCGUGGAAGUGCAGGGGCAGUGAUCUAAAAUCUUCUUCGAUUUGUGGCAUUUCUCCUACGAUUUUCUGUGGCCCAUGGUUUACGUGGUAGUAGCGGUGAUACGGCUCGGAGAUGACGGCGUUGUGAACGUCGCUUCCUGCA